rnacentral:rRNA from 1 species
ACCAACCUCGAGGUGGGAAGGCCGGUCAGAGAGUGUGAGAACCACGUAGGUGAAAACGACAAGAGCCGAGCGAAUUCCAGAGUACGGCCAGACACGUGAAACCUGGUCGGAAUACGGGGGGACCACCCUCCAACCCUAAAUACUACCCAGUGACCGAUAGCGUAUAGUACUGUGAAGGAAAGGUGAAAAGCACCCCGGGAGGGGAGUGAAAAAGAACCUGAAACCCUGUGCCUACAAGCACCUAGAGCACGUCAAUGUGUGAUAGGGUACUUUUUGUAGAACGGUCCGGCGAGCGAUUGUAUGCAGCAAGGUUAAGGACUUAAGGUCUGGAGCCGAAGCGAAAGCGAGUUUGAAAAGGGCGUUAAGUUGCAUAUAAUGGGCCCGAAACCGGGUGACCUACCCAUGGUCAGGUUGAAGUGGAAGUAAAAUUCCAUGGAGGACCGAACCGACCUCCGUUGAAAAGGCGGCGGAUGAACUGUGGGUAGCGGAGAAAUUCCAAUCGAACCCGGAGAUAGCUGGUUCUCCCCGAAAUAGUUUUAGGACUAGCCUCAAGUUAGAUACCUGGAGGUAAAGCACUGAAUAGCCUAGCGGCCGAGAGGUUAGCGAAGCUUAUCAAACUCAGAAUGCCAGAGUAUUGAUGCUUGGGAGUCAGACAGUGUCAGAUAAAUGUCAUUGUCAAAAGGGAAACAGCCCAGAUCUACAGCUAAGGUCCCAAAGUCAGGUUAAGUGGAAAACGAUGUGAAGAUACGCAGACAACCAGGAUGUUGGCUCAGAAGCAGCCACUCAUUCAAAGAGUGCGUAAUAGCUCACUGGUCGAGCGUCUUUGCGCGGAGAAUUUAACGGGGCUAAACCUGACACCGAAGCUUAGGCAAUCCAGCAAUGGAUUGGGUAGGGGAGCGUUGUAUACGCGGAGAAACAGUAGCGUAAGCGGCUGUGGAGUGUAUAGAAGUGAGAAUGCCGGAAUGAGUAGCGCGAAUGCAGUGAGAAUCUGCAUGGCCGAAAGCCUCAGGUUUCUGGAGGAAGGUUCGUCCGCUCCAGGUUAGUCGGGAGCUAAGGUGAGGCCGGAAGGCGUAGCCGAUGCACAGACGGUAGAGAUUCCGUCACCACCAAAAGAGUUAAGCACAGGGACACAUUUGAAGUCUCAGAGCCGGGUGUUGGUUCCGGUAGAGAUCGAGGGAAAUUAGUACCGAAGUCUGGGAUGGAAGAUGGCGAGAAAAGCUGUGUGUAUUUCUGAGGUGCCCGUACCGCAAACCGACACAGGUAGGUAGGAAGAAGAUUCUAAGGCCAACGGGAGAAGGGUUGUUAAGGAACUCGGCAAAUUGACCCCGUAACUUCGGGAGAAGGGGUGCUCCAGAGAUGGAGCCGCAGAGAAUCGGCCCAAGCAACUGUUUACCAAAAACACAGGUUUGUGCUAAAUCGAAAGAUGACGUAUACGAGCUGACGCCUGCCCGGUGCUGGAAGGUUAAGAGGAGAUGUGCAAGCAUUGAAUCGAAGCCCCAGUGAACGGCGGCCGUAACUAUAACGGUCCUAAGGUAGCGAAAUUCCUACGGUAUCGAUAAGCUUGAU